GGUGGAGUGCCCGAGUUGGCUAAAGGGGACGGACUGUAAAUCCGUUGGCUAAGCCUUCACUGGUUCGAAUCCAGUCUCCUCCACCA
rnacentral:tRNA from 1 species